UGUCGCUCAACGGAUAAAAGGUACCCCGGGGAUAACAGGCUGAUCUUCCCCAAGAGUCCAUAUCGACGGGAUGGUUUGGCACCUCGAUGUCGGCUCGUCGCAUCCUGGGGCUGGAGUCGGUCCCAAGGGUUGGGCUGUUCGCCCAUUAAAGCGGUACGCGAGCUGGGUUUAGAACGUCGUGAGACAGUUCGGUCCCUAUCCGCUGUGCGCGUAGGAAUAUUGAGAAGGGCUGUCCCUAGUACGAGAGGACCGGGACGGACGAACCUCUGGUGUGCCAGUUGUCCUGCCAAGGGCAUGGCUGGUUGGCUACGUUCGGAAAGGAUAACCGCUGAAAGCAUCUAAGCGGGAAGCCUGCUUCGAGAUGAGUAUUCCCACCCUCUUGAGGGGUUAAGGCUCCCAGUAGACGACUGGGUUGAUAGGCCAGAUGUGGAAGCCCGGUAACGGGUGGAGCUGACUGGUACUAAUAGGCCGAGGGCUUGUCCUC
rnacentral:rRNA from 1 species